rnacentral:rRNA from 1 species
AUUGAACGCUGGCGGCAUGCCUUACACAUGCAAGUCGAACGGCAGCAUAGGUGCUUGCACCGGAUGGCGAGUGGCGAACGGGUGAGUAAUGCAUCGGAACGUGUCCUGUAGAGGGGGAUAGACCGGCGAAAGCCGGAUUAAUACCGCAUACGCUCUAUGGAGGAAAGCGGGGGACGUGGAUAGGAAACUAUUUGGCCUCGCGCUAGAGGAGCGGCCGAUGCAGAUUAGCUAGUUGGUGGGGUAAAGGCCUACCAAGGCAACGAUCUGUAACGGGUCUGAGAGGAUGGACCGUCACACUGGGACUGAGACACGGCCCAGACUCCUACGGGAGGCAGCAGUGGGGAAUUUUGGACAAUGGGGAAACCCUGAUCCAGCAAUGCCGCGUGUGUGAAGAAGGCCUUAGGGUUAGUAAAGCUACUUUUGUCCAGGAAGAAAAGGCUUUAGUGAAUAAUUAAAGUCGAUGACGGUAC